GAAAACAGCAGCACAUCAAUGAGAGCCCAUCUGAACAUCAGCAUUACUUAUUACAAGGCUUCUUUUCAUCCAGACCGUCCGUCUGAUACUCGCUAGCAAGUCAAGGAGACUAAAAAGUGGCACGUAACUUCCAUCAGAGGGGGAGCGGGAAAAUGAAAGACAGCAGCGGGUCCCAGAGAAAUGCUGGAGACAAUUUGCCGCUAAUGGCAGAUGCUAGCCUUUCCUCCGCCUUUUGUUUUGAUGUUAUUGGAUGAAAAGGCAGGUCUUUAGC